rnacentral:rRNA from 1 species
UAUUAGUCAAUGCUCGCAAGAGUGAACUAGCUAACUGAAAUCAAUGGUGUGUCAUCAUUGAUAAGGUAAGGGAAAAGAAAUGAUACUACCUUACUAUUAGUGUCGUCCAAGUACUCGUGCCAGAAGACUCGGUAAGGCGAGAGACGCAAACGUUAGUCGUCUUAAUCAGGCGUAAAGGGUUUGUAGGCGGCUUUAAGAAUUAUUCUCUUCAUGCAAAAUUGAAGUAACAGAAAAUCAAUUAAAGCUAGAAUCAAAAAGAGGUUAAUUAAAUAAUACUCAAUAUAGGGUUGAUAUCUUUAGAAUACGAGUAGAAUACUAACGGCGAAGGCUUUUUUCCAAUAAUGAUUGACGCUGAGAAACUAAGGUGAGGAUAGAAAAAAGGAUUAGAGACCCUCGUAUCCCUCACUGUCAACGAUGAAUGGUAGUUACUAGAAAACAACAAAAUAAAAUAAAAUUAUUUUUAAAUUACAAUCUAGAGACGAUGUUAACACGAAAACCAUUCCGCCUUGUGAGUACGACUGCAAAGUGAAAACAAAAAAAUUAGUCGGUUUCGGAGCAAACGGAGUGAAGCAUGUUAUUUAA